rnacentral:rRNA from 1 species
CGAAAGCCUGACGGAGCAAUACCGCGUGAGGGAGGAAGGCUCUUGGGUUGUAAACCUCUUUUCUCAGGGAAGAACACAAUGACGGUACCUGAGGAAUCAGCAUCGGCUAACUCCGUGCCAGCAGCCGCGGUAAUACGGAGGAUGCAAGCGUUAUCCGGAAUGAUUGGGCGUAAAGCGUCCGCAGGUGGUGAUGUAAGUCUGCUGUCAAAGCGUCUAGCUCAACUAGAUACAGGCAGUGGAAACUACAUGACUAGAGUGCGUUCGGGGCAGAGGGAAUUCCUGGUGUAGCGGUGAAAUGCGUAGAUAUCAGGAAGAACACCGGUGGCGAAAGCGCUCUGCUAGGCCGCAACUGACACUGAGGGACGAAAGCUAGGGGAGCG